UAGUCCACGCCGUAAACGAUGUGCACUAGGUCCCGGUACCUCUGACGGUUUCGGGGCCGAAAAGAAAUCGAUAAGUGCACCGCCUGGGGAGUACGGUCGCAAGGCUAAAACUCAAAGGAAUUGACGGGGGCUCACACAAGCGGUGGAGCAUGUGGCUUAAUUCGAAGCAACGCGAAGAACCUUAUCCUGGGUUUGACAUGUAUGGAUUAACUCCCUGAAAGGGGAGCCACACUCUCUGAGUGGAACAUACACAGGUGCUGCAUGGCUGUCGUCAGCUCGUGCUGUGAAGUGUCGGGUUAAGUCCCUUAACGAGCGAAACCCUUACCGUUAGUUGCUAACAGGUUAUGCUGAGGACUCUAGCGGGACUGCCGGUGUCAAACCGGAGGAAGGUGGGGAUGACGUCAAGUCCUCAUGGCCUUUAUGCCCAGGGCUGCACACGUGCUACAAUGGUAGGUACAAACCGAAGCGAUACCGCGAGGUGGAGCAAAUCGGAAAAGCCUGCCCCAGUUCGGAUCGUAGU
rnacentral:rRNA from 1 species